CUACCCUUGACAUGGACGGAAUCCUGGUGAGAGCCGGGGGUGCCCGAAAGGGAGCCGUCACACAGGUGCUGCAUGGCUGUCGUCAGCUCGUGUCGUGAGAUGUUGGGUUAAGUCCCGCAACGAGCGCAACCCUUGUCCCUAGUUGCUACGCAAGAGCACUCCAGGGAGACUGCCGGUGACAAACCGGAGGAAGGUGGGGAUGACGUCAAGUCCUCAUGGCCCUUAUGGGUAGGGCUUCACACGUCAUACAAUGGUCGGAACAGAGGGUCGCCAACCCGCGAGGGGGAGCCAAUCCCGGAAAACCGAUCGUAGUCCGGAUCGCAGUCUGCAACUCGACUGCGUGAAGCUGGAAUCGCUAGUAAUCGCGGAUCAGCAUGCCGCGGUGAAUACGUUCCC
rnacentral:rRNA from 1 species